AGUGGCGGACGGGUGAGUAACGCGUAAGAAUCUAACUUCAGGACGGGGACAACAGUGGGAAACGACUGCUAAUACCCGAUGUGCCGCGUGGUGAAACCUAAUUGGCCUGAAGAAGAGCUUGCGUCUGAUUAGCUAGUUGGUGGGGUAAGAGCCUACCAAGGCGACGAUCAGUAGCUGGUCUGAGAGGAUGAGCAGCCACACUGGGACUGAGACACGGCCCAGACUCCUACGGGAGGCAGCAGUGGGGAAUUUUCCGCAAUGGGCGAAAGCCUGACGGAGCAACGCCGCGUGAGGGAGGAAGGUCUUUGGAUUGUAAACCUCUUUUCUCAAGGAAGAAGUUCUGACGGUACUUGAGGAAUCAGCCUCGGCUAACUCCGUGCCAGCAGCCGCGGUAAUACGGGGGAGGCAAGCGUUAUCCGGAAUUAUUGGGCGUAAAGCGUCCGCAGGUGGUCAGCCAAGUCUGCCGUCAAAUCAGGUUGCUUAACGACCUAAAGGCGGUGGAAACUGGCAGACUAGAGAGCAGUAGGGGUAGCAGGAAUUCCCAGUGUAGCGGUGAAAUGCGUAGAGAUUGGGAAGAACAUCGGUGGCGAAAGCGUGCUACUGGGCUGUAUCUGACACUCAGGGACGAAAGCUAGGGGAGCGAAAGGGAUUAGAUACCCCUGUAGUCCUAGCCGUAAACGAUGGAUACUAGGCGUGGCUU
rnacentral:rRNA from 1 species